rnacentral:lncRNA from 1 species
GAAUAUGCUUGAGUCCUAACCCCGGUAUCUGUGAACGUGACUCUAUUUGGAAACAGGGUCUUUGCGGAUGUGAUUAUCUAAGAUGAGUCGUGCUUACCGAGGGGCCGGCCCUGAACCCAGUGACAGGUGUCCUUAGAAGAAGGGGGGAAAUUUGGACACAGACACAGAGGAGAGGCUGUGUGAGGAGGAAGGCAGGGAUUGGAGCGAUGCAGCCAGGCGCCUCUGGAGGGAGCAGGCUCCGCUGACUCCUUGAUUUUGGACUAUAGUUCUCCAGGAUUGCAGGACCCUCAGUGUUGGCUGUUAGAGCCACCUGGUUUGUGGAACCUAUUGAUAGCAGCCCUGGGACACUAAUGCCACAGCUGUGACCAGGCUCUAGGAGAAUUGCCGCCCCAGAAGCGGAAAUGAUGCCCCGGGUGUUGGUGUUGCCUCUGCACCUCCCUGCUCCCCGAAGGAGCUUGUGCUCAGAUCUCCUGCAGGGGCCCCGCUGACAAGGCUGCCUGCAGCGUGCAGAGGCCCAGCAGCGUGGUGACCAGUUCCAGGAUGGACAGAGAUGGAGGGUGGAGAUGUUGCAGGGGCCACAGGUGUUGGGAAAGCAUGGACAGGCCUGAGCCACAGGCACUGGCUUUGGGUCCUGGCCUCAGGGCUCUGUGACCCUGGGGCAAGCUCCGACGGACUCGGUGGUACAGAAAAGAACCAUGGUGACGGUUCUCGUAGAGUCUCUGGGCUCUGGGCCACAGCAGUGCCGUGACGAGGGGGCUGGGCACUGAACUUCGGUCAGAAGUGGCAGAACACCUGCGCUGCAUGGGGAUGUGAGACGGGCAGAAGGAAGCUGUGGGCAAACCUUGCUGGGGAUCUCAAACUACAGGACGCCUCUGCAUUGGCCAUGCCUGUGACGGCGGCCCCCUUCCUGCCUAAGGCUGUGCAGCCAGGAGCCCAGGUGGGACUGCUUUAGUUCCCUAGGGCCACUGCAACAAAUAACCACACACUGUUGGCUUGAACCUUGAUCCUCUCAUAGUCCUGGAGGACAGGAGUUCCAACUCAAGGCCAGGUGCAGUGGCUCACACCUGUAAUCCCAGCAUUUUGGGAGGCCGAGGCAGGUGGAUCACUUGAGACCAGGAGUUCCAGACCUGCCUGGGCAACAUGGUGAAACCCAGUCUCUGCUAAAAAUAUAAAAAUUAGUCGGGUGUGGUGGUGCGCGCCUGUAGUCCCAGCUGCUCAGGAGGUUGAGGCAGGAGAAUUGCUUGAACCCAGGAGGUGGAGGUUGCUGUGAGCCGAAACCACGCCACUGCCCUCCAGCCUAGGCAACAGAGCGAGAGUGUCUCAAAAAAAAAAAAAAAAAA